UUCAGCCCCGUGUCACCUGGCGUCACCUGGCGUCACCUGGCGUCACCUGUUGAACAGGACUGCCGUGAGCCCUCAGGCAGCAGUUGAGGCCCCUGGAUCAGCCAAGGCCCACAGUCGGAGGUCUGUGAGCCUCGACUCCCUUGUUCUCCACCCGCGCGCGACUCAGAACCGCAGACCUCCACCAGCGGAAACCCAGGCUCAGAGCAAGUGUUU
rnacentral:lncRNA from 1 species